rnacentral:rRNA from 1 species
UGGGGAAUUUUGGACAAUGGGCGCAAGCCUGAUCCAGCCAUGCCGCGUGCGGGAAGAAGGCCUUCGGGUUGUAAACCGCUUUUGUCAGGGAAGAAACGCUCUGGGCUAAUACCCUGGGGUAAUGACGGUACCUGAAGAAUAAGCACCGGCUAACUACGUGCCAGCAGCCGCGGUAAUACGUAGGGUGCAAGCGUUGUUCGGAUUUACUGGGCGUAAAGGGCGCGUAGGCGGCAUGACAAGUCACUUGUGAAAUCUCUGGGCUUAACCCAGAACGGCCAAGUGAUACUGUCGCGCUAGAGUGCAGAAGGGGCAAUCGGAAUUCUUGGUGUAGCGGUGAAAUGCGUAGAUAUCAAGAGGAACACCUGAGGUGAAGACGGGUUGCUGGGCUGACACUGACGCUGAGGCGCGAAAGCCAGGGGAGCAAACGGGAUUAGAUACCCCUGUAGUCCCUGAGCGGGCUGGCAAGGCGCAU